GACGGGACCCCGCACAAGCGGUGGAUCAUGUUGUUUAAUUCGAUGAUACGCGAAGAACCUUACCAGGUCUUGACAUCCCCCGCGAUGCUUUAGAGAUAAAGCGGAGGUAUUCGGGGAGACAGGUGGUGCAUGGUUGUCGUCAGCUCGUGUCGUGAGAUGUUGGGUUAAGUCCCGCAACGAGCGCAACCCCUAUUGCUAGUUACCAUCAUUAAGUUGGGGACUCUAGCGAGACUGCCGGUGUUAAACCGGAGGAAGGUGGGGAUGACGUCAAGUCCUCAUGGCCUUUAUGACCAGGGCUACACACGUACUACAAUGGCCGAUACAAAGGGCAGCGACACUGCGAGGUGAAGCCAAUCCCGUAAAAUCGGUCUCAGUCCGGAUUGGAGUCUGCAACUCGACUCCAUGAAGUUGGAAUCGCUAGUAAUCGCGCAUCAGCAUGGCGCGGUGAAUACGUUCCCGGGCCUU
rnacentral:rRNA from 1 species